GAGCAGCUCGUCCCGCGGCCCCCGGGGCGGGGGAGCCGCCGCCCGUCGCGAUUCCUCCCCGGCGGGAUUCGGGGGAGGAAACUUCGCCCACCCGCCCGCCGCAGGCGAGGCAGCACGGGAAGCGCGGCGGGAAAUCGCACCCCUCGGCCGGCGAAGGGAGCGGUAGUGGAAGCGCGUUGUUGGGAUCCCGGCGUGGGAGGAAGGGGCGGCUCUGACUGCCAGCUAGCCAGAUCUGGGCUCUGGGAAAUGGAGACGGGGCUGCUGCUUCGCCAGGCAGCGACGUGCUGAAAGCGAUGGACAGCGAAUUACUGCGGGAGAGCCCGGCUCCGAAAUCGCCCUUCCCAGGAAGCUGAGACACCCCCCGAGCUCUGGAAGUUCUAGCAGUCGCUCGCUCAGCCUGGGGUUAACCGCAGCGAGUUGCACCGGGUGAGUCCCAGUUUGAAGGGGUCAGGCAGGUGAUUCCUUUGCUUUUUGCUCCUCUGCUCGUGCGUGAAUACUGAAUCCCCCAAAGUCCGCCCGAAAGCCCGGGGGAGCUCGAGAAAAGCCACGGUGGAGAGCUGUAGGUGUUUUGGAUAUAUUGGACACAAAGUACUGCCACCUCUGCUCCAGGGAUUCGUAUGGCUUGAAGGGUGGAGCUGGAAACUGGCACUUUUACCUCCAUGGAUCCCCUAAACCUCUCUUGGUACAACGGUGACAUCAGUGACAGGAACUGGAGCAAGCCACUCAACGAGUCCAAUGCAGACCAGAAGCCUCAGUAUAACUACUAUGCCAUGCUGCUCACCCUCCUCAUCUUUGUUAUUGUUUUUGGCAAUGUGCUGGUGUGUAUGGCUGUGUCCAGGGAAAAAGCCCUUCAGACUACCACUAAUUACCUGAUCGUGAGUUUGGCAGUGGCAGAUCUCUUGGUAGCAACUCUGGUCAUGCCUUGGGUGGUCUAUCUGGAGGUGGUUGGUGAGUGGAGGUUUAGUCGGAUCCACUGUGAUAUCUUUGUAACCCUUGAUGUUAUGAUGUGUACUGCCAGUAUCCUCAACCUCUGUGCCAUCAGCAUUGACAGGUACACAGCAGUAGCAAUGCCAAUGCUGUAUAAUACCCGCUACAGCUCGAAGCGCAGGGUCACAGUCAUGAUUGCAGUGGUCUGGGUGCUUUCAUUUGCCAUCUCCUGCCCACUCCUCUUUGGCCUCAACAACACAGAUGAGAAUGAGUGCAUCAUUGCCAAUCCUGCCUUUGUCGUGUAUUCCUCUAUCGUCUCCUUCUACGUUCCCUUCAUUGUCACCCUGCUGGUGUAUGUACAGAUUUACAUAGUGCUCCGGAAGCGCAGGAAGCGUGUCAACACCAAGCGCAGCAGCCACGGCCUGGACUCAGACACGCAAGCCCCACUGAAGGACAAAUGCACUCAUCCAGAAGACGUCAAGCUCUGCACAGUUAUUGUGAAGUCCAAUGGGAGUUUCCAAGUUAAUAAGCGCAAAGUGGAGGCGGAGAGUCACAUAGAAGAGAUGGAAAUGGAGAUGGUGUCCAGUACCAGUCCCCCUGAGAAAACCACCAUCAAACCUGUGGCAGCACGUAACCAUCAGUUGGUUGUGCCAAUUGCUUCUAAUCAGGGCACCAACUCAACCCUGCAGGCACCCUUGGACAGCCCUGGGAAAGUAGAGAAGAACGGACAUGCCAAAGAAACGCCCCACACGGCCAAGGUCUUUGAGAUCCAGUCUAUGCCCAAUGGCAAGACAAGGACCUCUCUCAAGGCUGUGAGCAGGAGGAAACUGUCACAACAGAAGGAAAAGAAAGCCACUCAGAUGCUAGCCAUUGUACUUGGUGUUUUCAUCAUCUGCUGGCUCCCAUUCUUCAUCACUCACAUCCUGAACAUGCACUGCGAUUGCAACAUCCCCCCAGCAAUGUACAGCGCCUUUACGUGGCUUGGAUAUGUCAACAGUGCUGUCAACCCAAUUAUUUACACCACCUUCAACAUUGAAUUUCGCAAGGCUUUCAUGAAGAUCCUCCACUGUUAAAAGCAAAAACAGCAACUGCAUUUUUAAGAUGACAAAAAAGAAACCAAUGCCAUUCACGCACACCAAUGGGCAGCAAUGGAGAGGUCUCAAGCUCCUGUAUUGGGCAUGAGGCCUACAGUAUUACAACAGUGCCAUGCCCAUGCACCUCUUGGUGGGGAUGUAACGAGGACCUUCAUGUGAGAGGUUCUCUCAUCCCUCAAGGUGAUCUUUGGACUCUGGGACAUCAAUCCCAAGGGCACUUUUCAGAGCUACUCUCACACUGUGUUUAAAGCGGAAGCAAAAAUCAAGACACACUCACUUGAUUCUUGCCUGUGGCCAUCUAACCUUGAGUGCAUUAAACACAGACAGUCACUGAGCCAUGUGAAGGUAGCGAUAGGUCACUGCCGCUGCUGGCUUUGUGUUAUGUCAUCGAUACAAUUCUCACCAAAGACAAGACCAUCUUUUCCGCUUUGCAGUAGGAGCCAGACAGAGCUUGCAGAAACUCCAUGCAAUAGCUUUGCCUUCACUUUGAGCUGACUUACCCAGUAUUAAACUGCUGAAGCCUUUAGAAAAAACUUUAAGAGGUUCCUGCCACCUACAGAUCCAGUCCCUGCAAGAAUGUAGGCCUACAAGCAACGGGCAGAAGGAAGAAGGGGAGCGUAAGUCUCACGUGGGACCACUACAUCAGUGUAAAUAUGGAUAAAUAGGAUGAGUUGAACAGAAGGCCAAGCCAAAAAGUAGAUGGAGAGAAACUAAAGAAGUGAUACCUUGUAUUGCAUGGUAUACAAACAGGACAGCAACCAUCAUAUAUCAUCAGCCAGCCCAGCAGCAAUUUCUGCCCACCAGCAUUUCAUCUCUGGUCUCUUACAAGAAGUUAUAAAACUAGGUGAGGAGUGUUAGUGUGGUAAAUAUAGAUCAUGAAGACAGUGUGCCAGGUGAGGCAUCUGCAGCCAUGUCCACCUCAGAUGUGAACUUGAGCAAGUCAUCUAGGUUAGGUCCAGUUCUUCUCACCUAACUUCAGGGUGCCAUGAAGCCAAGGACCACCUCAGAUAUGAUUUUCCUAUGUCUCUCAACAGAGAAAGUGCAGAGUAAUAUUGUGCCUAAUUUAAAUUAACAGUAAAUGAGAUAAAAAUGUGUGGUUUGGAAAAAGCCAGAAUAAAAGCCCAAGAAAGUCCCUAGCUGAACCUGUGCUGGUGUUCAAGUUGGACUCUGGAAAGUUCUGGGUGUUUCCAGCAUCCCUUACCGCCUGAUAUCUACCUUUCAUCAAUUUAAACAAUUGAAAACCCGUAACAGCAUAACUUCACCAUGCUGACUCUGGCAUUGCCAAAUCAGCACUGCAUUUACUAAUUGUACUCAGUUCACAAUACAUUUCGUAAUAUCUCUGUAAAUAAAACCUAGUAAGAUGAAUAAAAUUACGUGGAAAUAGGUCUGGCUAGAAAUUAAUGUAGGAUCUGGAGAACUAGAUGAUUACAAUAGACAUACGCAGAGGCAGGCCCCCAAGUUCUAGUUACCUGCUGUUUUCUGAAGAUGUUAAAACACAAUCCAGAGAGCAAUAUAAUCCCUUUUCUCUCUGUACACUUUGUGGAAGUCACAUAGUUUCUGUUUCAGAAUAGAUAAAGACCGCUGCCAAGGGGGGUUUCUUUUAUUCUCUGGGUUUCUUAUAUUGCUAACAAAGCAUCUUCCUGUGGGAUGGACUGUGCUGGUAGAACGUGUUCCAGAUGUAUAUCAAGAAGAGAUUAUGUCAAGCAGCUAUAACUCAUGCUCUCAGCUGUUUUCUGAAAUUGAAAUAGAAGUUCCACCUUGAUCCAGCGGAUUCCAUUCUAAACCUCAUAUUCCUGGAAGAGGCCAAUAACUAGUGGUUUUAGUUUGUAUAACAUUAGAGCAUGGCUCUUCAGGGUCUGUUCAUAGCUAUAAAUUUAAAUGAAGAGUGAUUUUACAGAUGCCGAAAUGUAUCCCACUUUAGCAAAGGAUUUUAGCAUAUACUCUCUGAAGAAAUAGGUCCUAUAUAUUAACUGAAUAGGAGAGUACAUGCUUAUCAGAGCAACAUUUUUGUUGGCAUACAUGAACCAGGUGUUACAUGAUUCUGUCAGAACAAAAUGUUAUGAACAUGUAAGAUGGGGCCAGUCAUUCUUCUGUCUUAGCAUUGUAAUGCACAGCUAGGGAAGCUUUGCAUUUUAUAUGUUAAUGGGAUUAUAGGCAAGGGAAAAAAACAUUUCUUACAGAAGCACAGGAAACUUUCCAAUCCUUUUUUAAACAGCAAAUUGGAAACACUAACUCAAGAGAUCUCAGGCACAUGUUACCUCUUCUUUUGUUUGGUUUUUUUUUCCAGUUUUAACCAAUCCAGUUCACUCAGUGAUGGGAUUCAGCUCAGACUGGAAUUACUUAAAAGAUUCAAAGAAUAAUGUAAAGUCAGUAGGGUUUUUUUGUGGAGAAAAUACUAACUAGCUACUGCUCAAUUUUAACAUAUUUACAAUCACAAAACAGAAAGGUGCCAUUUGGUGCAUAUAGACAAAAAAAGCUCUAAAACAUUUGAAAUUUCCAUAGGUGGUUUGACCUGUACUAAAACCUGAUGUGAGCCCUCAAAAUAAGUGGAAUGUGAAUAAUGUCUUAUCUUUCUGCUAUAAUUUUAUUUCAUGUUCAGUGUUAACCCAGGACAAAAUCAUCAUCUUCAAUGCUGUGUACCUUGUUCAAAAAUCUUGUUUCUGAAUCAAGAUGCAGAACCUUAUAGCUCAGCUCACUUGAACUACUAGAUUAAAAACUCUUCCAAAACAUUGUGGAAGAAGAAAGCUGCUGAAAAUAGUCUAUGUCCUUCAUAGGUUUGUUAACUUGGACCAAAAAAAACCAGGAAAACAGGUGUCAUUUCCUAGAGAUUAAGUAUCUGUUGGGUCAAAUUACCAGCAGCCCAUCAUUCAUCCCAAUGAUAUUUUAAACCACUUACUCCUAACACUCCAGACUCAAAUGUAACCUGUGGAAAUAUCUAUAUCCCACUGCCCUUGGAAAGGCGGUAAUGCCAUAUCUGUUCACGUCCUCUGCAGCAGGUUUUCCUUUCCCAUAAAACAUCUACACUUAAAGACAACAAACACUUUCUACCCAUGAAUCAAGGCUUCAUAACUUUUUGAGAGGGGACCAAAAUAUCAUCACCUCUGGCUUUACAAAGAAUAAACUAAUGCCAAGAGCAAGGACAGUCUUUGCAAUCUGUUUGUACAGCACCUGGCACAGUGACUGACAACCAGGCCGUAGUGGUGAUAGAAGGUGUUUGUAGAAACUUCUGAAAAUUGUGAGAAGUCAGCUGCAUCAUACAGGACUGAGGCCUCUUGCCCACAGAUCUGGGUCUGGCAAAUAGAGUCAUCACUGUUACUACCACUCUGGAAAAAAUACUGCUUUCCCAAGGACUUCAGAUGGCGGGACAUGCUGAUGAUGACAGAAGCAGACUGGGGAGGAUUUGGAGGAGGAAGGGAUGGAAAACGGAUAAGUACCUGGCCAAGAGCAGUCAUGCUGGUACUUGUGGCACCACAACAGCUGCCUGUAUUUAAUUUUUGACACUACUCAGUCACAUCUGGUACAUAGCAGUUCACAUACAAGUUCAAGAUGGGUAAUGAAAGCCACUGUUCUCAUUGGGACAUUGUUUGUCUACCUGAGCUGUAAAAGCUGAGGGAAACAAAUCUAUAUAGGUCAAACAUAAGCAGCACCCUGUAUGAGUUUGGUUGGCAACAAUUAACAGUUGUGUGGAAUCUACAAACUCGCAAUCUCUCUGCAUGGAGAAAAUAAAUAGAAGCUGUCAGACCACUAAGGCACUGCAGGCAAUUUGUACGACAAGUACAAUAUUUUUAACACUGUAUUUUAUGCAGAAGUUAGUAUGUCCCGAAAAGGUGAUUAUGGACUUCACUUGGCUAAGCACACCUAAUGUAAGAACUCACACCGGUGAGAGUAUUUCUGCUGUCCACCUAUAUCAUUUGGUCUUGCAUAAGAGGUUUUGGUGAAGACACUGUGUGGGUCUGGCAGGGCAGACAGCAAGCUGCAUCUGGGUCCUGUGUAGUAGCUUAUGCCAACGUUAAGUAACUAAUCACAUGGGUUUGUCUUCCUUCUGCAUUUUGCUUGACUUUUAUGCUGGAGAACAUCAUUUCAUUUAGGAAUAUUUACAUUUAUAUUGCACUUACUGUUGCACUGCUUCCUCAAGCUACCAGCUGAAAUGUUUGGUAUUUAUGCAAGAACUGAUCCGAUAAAUGGAUGUGAACCUCAGCCAUUAGUCGGCAUGACAGUAAAACCUCAGCUUAGGCUGCCACACAACUGGGGCUCAUGG